UCAGGAUAUAAUGCUUGAUAAGAUCCUAGAUGAAGCUGGUCGAAAGGUCCUCCUUUCAGAGUUCCCCAAGAUUAUGCAGCAGGGCUUUGCUUAUCUGCCAGCAGGGCUAUGUGUAUCGAGCAUGGGGAGGCCAGUGUCGUACGAGCAAGCUGUUGCAUGGAAGGUCCUUAAUGAUGACAACUCCAAUCACUGCCUAGCUUUCAUGUUCACAAACUGGUCUUUUAUUUAAGUUCAAAACAUAUGAUCUGCGUAAGGCAGGCUGUGUGGCAUUAG
rnacentral:misc_RNA from 1 species